UACGUAGGGUGCGAGCGUUAAUCGGAAUUACUGGGCGUAAAGUGUGCGCAGGCGGCCGCGCAAGUCGAGUGUGAAAGCCCCGGGCUUAACUUGGGAAUUGCGCUCGAAACUACGUGGCUGGAGUAUGGCAGAGGAAGGUGGAAUUCCACGUGUAGCGGUGAAAUGCGUAGAGAUGUGGAGGAACACCGAUGGCGAAGGCAGCCUUCUGGGCCGAAACUGACGCUGAGGAGCGAAAGCGUGGGGAGCAAACAGG
rnacentral:rRNA from 1 species